UACAGAGGUCUCAAGCGUUGUUCGGAUUCAUUGGGCGUAAAGGGUGCGUAGGCGGCGUGGUAAGUCGGGUGUGAAAUCUCGGAGCUUAACUCCGAAACUGCAUUCGAUACUGCCGUGCUUGAGGACUGGAGAGGAGACUGGAAUUUACGGUGUAGCGGUGAAAUGCGUAGAUAUCGUAAGGAAGACCAGUGGCGAAGGCGGUUCUCUGGGCCUGACCUGACGCUGAGGAGCGAAAGCGUGGGGAGCAAACAGG
rnacentral:rRNA from 1 species